AAAGAAUCCUCGAAAAACAAAAAAUGAAAUUCAUGUUGAAAACAAAAGUUGUCGCGGUCGAUACUUCAACCGAUAUAGUCAAACUAACCGUGGAACCGUCAUCCGGCGGUGAACAAACCGUCCUCGAAGCCGAUGUCGUUCUCGUUUCCGCCGGUCGGAUUCCAUUCACCUCCGGACUCGGCCUCGAAACGAUCGGAAUCGAAACCGAUAAAAUCGGACGGAUUCCGGUCGACAAACGGUUUACCACAAAUGUAAAAGGCGUGUUUGCAAUCGGAGAUGUGAUUCCAGGCC
rnacentral:lncRNA from 1 species